GACAGAGGGUGCAAACGUUGUUCGGAAUUACUGGGCGUAAAGCGCGUGUGGGCGGCUUUGCAAGUCGGGCGUGAAAUCCCAUGGCUCAACCAUGGAAGUGCACUCGAAACUGCAGAGCUAGAGUCCUGGAGAGGAAGGUGGAAUGCUUGGUGUAGAGGUGAAAUUCGUAGAUAUCAAGCGGAACACCGGUGGCGAAGGCGGCCUUCUGGACAGUGACUGACGCUGAGACGCGAAAGCGUGGGGAGCAAACAGG
rnacentral:rRNA from 1 species